CCUACGGGUGGCAGCAGUGGGGAAUAUUGGGCAAUGGGCGCAAGCCUGACCCAGCAACGCCGCGUGAAGGAAGAAGGCUUUCGGGUUGUAAACUUCUUUUCGCAGGGACGAAGCAAGUGACGGUACCUGAGGAAUAAGCCACGGCUAACUACGUGCCAGCAGCCGCGGUAAUUCGUAGGUGGCAAGCGUUAUCCGGAUUUACUGGGUGUAAAGGGCGUGUAGGCGGGGACGCAAGUCAGAUGUGAAAACCACGGGCUCAACCUGGGGCCUGCAUUUGAAACUGUGUUUCUUGAGUGCUGGAGAGGCAGACGGAAUUCCUGGUGUAGCGGUGAAAUGCGUAGAUACUAGGAGGAACACCAGUGGCGAAGGCGGUCUGCUGGACGGCAACUGACGCUGAGGCGCGAAAGCGUGGGGAGCAAACAGGAUUAGAUACCCGUGUAGUC
rnacentral:rRNA from 1 species